rnacentral:rRNA from 1 species
AUUGAACGCUGGCGGCAGGCUUAACACAUGCAAGUCGAGCGGGGAAGGGUAGCUUGCUACCUGACCUAGCGGCGGACGGGUGAGUAAUGCUUAGGAAUCUGCCUAUUAGUGGGGGACAACAUUCCGAAAGGAAUGCUAAUACCGCAUACGCCCUACGGGGGAAAGCAGGGGAUCUUCGGACCUUGCGCUAAUAGAUGAGCCUAAGUCAGAUUAGCUAGUUGGUGGGGUAAAGGCCUACCAAGGCGACGAUCUGUAGCGGGUCUGAGAGGAUGAUCCGCCACACCGGGACUGAGACACGGCCCAGACUCCUACGGGAGGCAGCAGUGGGGAAUAUUGGACAAUGGGCGAAAGCCUGAUCCAGCCAUGCCGCGUGUGUGAAGAAGGCCUUUUGGUUGUAAAGCACUUUAAGCGAGGAGGAGGCUACUUGGAUUAAUACUCUAGGAUAGUGGACGUUACUCGCAGAAUAAGCACCGGCUAACUCUGUGCCAGCCGCCGCUGUAA